GACAAACGCUGGCGGCGUGCUUAACACAUGCAAGUCGAACGGAAAGGCCCUGCUUUUGUGGGGUGCUCGAGUGGCGAACGGGUGAGUAACACGUGAGUAACCUGCCCUUGACUUUGGGAUAACUUCAGGAAACUGGGGCUAAUACCGGAUAGGAGCUCCUGCUGCAUGGUGGGGGUUGGAAAGUUUCGGCGGUUGGGGAUGGACUCGCGGCUUAUCAGCUUGUUGGUGGGGUAGUGGCUUACCAAGGCUUUGAAGGGUAGCCGGCCUGAGAGGGUGACCGGGCACAAUGGGGCUUAGGUAAGGCCCAGACUCCUACGGGAGGCAGCAGUGGGGAAUAUUGCACAAUGGGCGGAAGCCUGAGGCAGCAACGCCGCGUGCGGGAUGACGGCCUUCGGGUUGUAAACCGCUUUCGCCUGUGACGAAGCGUGAGUGACGGUAAUGGGUAAAGAAGCACCGGCUAACUACGUG
rnacentral:rRNA from 1 species